GGCUCAGGACGAACGCUGGCGGCGUGCCUAAUACAUGCAAGUCGAGCGGACAGAAGGGAGCUUGCUCCCGGAUGUUAGCGGCGGACGGGUGAGUAACACGUGGGUAACCUGCCUGUAAGACUGGGAUAACUCCGGGAAACCGGAGCUAAUACCGGAUAGUUCCUUGAACCGCAUGGUUCAAGGAUGAAAGACGGUUUCGGCUGUCACUUACAGAUGGACCCGCGGCGCAUUAGCUAGUUGGUGAGGUAACGGCUCACCAAGGCGACGAUGCGUAGCCGACCUGAGAGGGUGAUCGGCCACACUGGGACUGAGACACGGCCCAGACUCCUACGGGAGGCAGCAGUAGGGAAUCUUCCGCAAUGGACGAAAGUCUGACGGAGCAACGCCGCGUGAGUGAUGAAGGUUUUCGGAUCGUAAAGCUCUGUUGUUAGGGAAGAACAAGUGCAAGAGUAACUGCUUGCACCUUGACGGUACCUAACCAGAAAGCCACGGCUAACUACGUGCCAGCAGCCGCGGUAAUACGUAGGUGGCAAGCGUUGUCCGGAAUUAUUGGGCGUAAAGGGCUCGCAGGCGGUUUCUUAAGUCUGAUGUGAAAGCCCCCGGCUCAACCGGGGAGGGUCAUUGGAAACUGGGAAACUUGAGUGCAGAAGAGGAGAGUGGAAUUCCACGUGUAGCGGUGAAAUGCGUAGAGAUGUGGAGGAACACCAGUGGCGAAGGCGACUCUCUGGUCUGUAACUGACGCUGAGGAGCGAAAGCGUGGGGAGCGAACAGGAUUAGAUACCCUGGUAGUCCACGCCGUAAACGAUGAGUGCUAAGUGUUAGGGGGUUUCCGCCCCUUAGUGCUGCAGCUAACGCAUUAAGCACUCCGCCUGGGGAGUACGGUCGCAAGACUGAAACUCAAAGGAAUUGACGGGGGCCCGCACAAGCGGUGGAGCAUGUGGUUUAAUUCGAAGCAACGCGAAGAACCUUACCAGGUCUUGACAUCCUCUGACAACCCUAGAGAUAGGGCUUUCCCUUCGGGGACAGAGUGACAGGUGGUGCAUGGUUGUCGUCAGCUCGUGUCGUGAGAUGUUGGGUUAAGUCCCGCAA
rnacentral:rRNA from 1 species